rnacentral:rRNA from 1 species
CCUACGGGAGGCAGCAGUGGGGAAUAUUGGACAAUGGGGGGAACCCUGAUCCAGCCAUGCCGCGUGUGUGAAGAAGGCCCUCGGGUUGUAAAGCACUUUCAGUGAGGAAGAACGCCUGGUGGUUAAUACCCAUCAGGAAAGACAUCACUCACAGAAGAAGCACCGGCUAACUCCGUGCCAGCAGCCGCGGUAAUACGGAGGGUGCGAGCGUUAAUCGGAAUUACUGGGCGUAAAGCGCGCGUAGGUGGCUUGAUAAGCCGGUUGUGAAAGCCCCGGGCUCAACCUGGGAACGGCAUCCGGAACUGUCAAGCUAGAGUGCAGGAGAGGAAGGUAGAAUUCCCGGUGUAGCGGUGAAAUGCGUAGAGAUCGGGAGGAAUACCAGUGGCGAAGGCGGCCUUCUGGACUGACACUGACACUGAGGUGCGAAAGCGUGGGUAGCAAACAGGAUUAGAUACACGAGUAGUC